GCGGAUGUGGCGGAAUUGGUAGACGCGCUGGAUUUAGGUUCCAGUACCGUAAGGUGUGAAAGUUCGAGUCUUUUCAUCCGCACCA
rnacentral:tRNA from 1 species